rnacentral:rRNA from 1 species
GACGAACGCUGGCGGCGUGCUUAACACAUGCAAGUCGAACGUGAUUUUUAAGGAAAGCCCUUCGGGGAAGGAAAUGAAAUGAAAGUGGCGAACGGGUGAGUAACACGUGAGCAACCUACCUUACACAGGGGGAUAGCCGUUGGAAACGACGAUUAAUACCGCAUGAGACCACAGAAUCGCAUGAUAUAGGGGUAAAAGAUUUAUCGGUGUAAGAAGGGCUCGCGUCUGAUUAGCUAGUUGGAAGGGUAAAGGCCUACCAAGGCGACGAUCAGUAGCCGGUCUGAGAGGAUGAACGGCCACAUUGGAACUGAGACACGGUCCAAACUCCUACGGGAGGCAGCAGUGGGGAAUAUUGCACAAUGGGGGGAACCCUGAUGCAGCGACGCCGCGUGAGCGAAGAAGGUUUUCGAAUCGUAAAGCUCUGUCCUAUGAGAAGAUAAUGACGGUAUCAUAGGAGGAAGCCCCGGCUAAAUACGUGCCAGCAGCCGCGGUAAUACGUAUGGGGCGAGCGUUGUCCGGAAUUAUUGGGCGUAAAGGGUACGUAGGCGGCCUUUUAAGUCAGGUGUGAAAGCGUGAGGCUUAACCUCAUUAAGCACUUGAAACUGGAAGGCUUGAGUGAAGGAGAGGAAAGUGGAAUUCCUAGUGUAGCGGUGAAAUGCGUAGAUAUUAGGAGGAAUACCGGUGGCGAAGGCGACUUUCUGGACUUUUACUGACGCUCAGGUACGAAAGCGUGGGGAGCAAACAGG